UAGGGAAUCUUCCGCAAUGGGCGAAAGCUUGACGGAGCAACGCCGCGUGAGUGAUGAAGGUCUUCGGAUCGGAAAACUCUGUUAUUAGGGAAGAAAAAAUGUGUAAGUAACUAUGCACGUCUUGACGGUACCUAAUCAGAAAGCCACGGCUAACUACGUGCCAGCAGCCGCGGUAAUACGUAGGUGGCAAGCGUUAUCCGGAAUUAUUGGGCGUAAAGCGCGCGUAGGCGGUUUUUUAAGUCUGAUGUGAAAGCCCACGGCUCAACCGUGGAGGGUCAUUGGAAACUGGAAAACUUGAGUGCAGACGAGGAAAGUGGAAUUCCAUGUGUAGCGGUGAAAUGCGCAGAGAUAUGGAGGAACACCAGUGGCGAAGGCGACUUUCUGGUCUGUAACUGACGCUGAUGUGCGAAAGCGUGGGGAUCAAACAGG
rnacentral:rRNA from 1 species